rnacentral:rRNA from 1 species
UACGGAAGGGGCAAGCGUUGUUCGGAAUCACUGGGCGUAAAGGGCGCGUAGGCGGCCGAUCAAGUCGGGGGUGAAAGCCUGUGGCUUAACCACAGAAUGGCCUUCGAUACUGUUUGGCUUGAGACCGGAAGAGGUUAGUGGAACUGCGAGUGUAGAGGUGAAAUUCGUAGAUAUUCGCAAGAACACCAGUGGCGAAGGCGGCUGACUGGUCCGGUUCUGACGCUGAGGCGCGAAAGCGUGGGGAGCAAACAGG